rnacentral:misc_RNA from 1 species
GAAAUGCGAUAAGUAGUGUGAAUUGCAGAAUUCAGUGAAUCAUCGAAUCUUUGAACGCACAUUGCGCCCCUUGGUAUUCCAUGGGGCAUGCCUGUUCGAGCGUCAUUUGUACCCUCAAGCUCUGCUUGGUGUUGGGUGUUUGUCCCGUCUCCGCGCGUGGACUCGCCCCAAAGUGAUUGGCAGCCGGCGUACUGGUCCCGGAGCACAGCACAUGUCGCGCAAACGAGUGCCUUGGUACGGCGGCGUCCAUAAGCCCCUCUCUCACGCUCUUGACCUCGGAUCAGGUAGGGAUACCCGCUGAACUUAAGC